AUGGGGUUUGUCCUUACAGUCAAUGGUCACGAGUCGGAGAACGCGCGCGGGCCAUAUGCUCGCGGCUGAGCUCUGGUCGACUGAACUGAAAAAAGCACGAAUCAAUUCAUGUAGUGACCUCAUUCAGUUCGUUCACUCAAAAGAUCUUUUCGUUCGACUGAAUCAUUCGCGAACCACACAACAUUAGAGUCCAUGACUUCAGUACAAACCAAGAUGGCCGUCUGAGUAGUGACGUGCUGAAGUUCACUUUAUAACUCUAAAUGCUGAUUCUUGUUAUCUUCUAUUGCUGUUCGGAAUGCUGUUUCGUGAGAACAUAUACUGAUUGUUCCAGCAAUGUUGAUCUGAAGGAAUCAUGACUGUAAUGGAAAAGCCUGUCCGAGCAACACAGGGUUUUGGGAUUUGCAUCGGAUGGUUUCUAUGUCUGCAGUAUUUUUGAGAUGUCCAGGUUAGGUGGUCUGAAGGGGCUCUGCCCCAAAGAACAGGCCCCCAACACCGACAUUUGCACAGCUGACAACUACACAAAAAUCUACAGAUGGAUACAUCCUCAUGUCGAGACACCGCUUCAGCUUUUUUAUAAAAAAGAACUGACCAAGCAGCAGGCAACUGAGGCUGGAUUUUGACUUAUUCAAGAAUCAGCUGAGGCUCAGAGAUCAGCUGUAUCUCCCAAAUCCUUGUAUUUGACAUUCUAUCCACCAACUAAUAUUUUUUCUUUUUCUCACGCCUGUCUUCCUUUCCGUUGUCUUUGUCGUGUUUUUUGCAUUAUUGAACUAGAAAUGGAGAGCAAGUAAUGGAUCAUACUGGUGACCUAGUCUAAAUGGCUAUUUUUCAGCACUGUUCAGUGCCACUAUCUACCACUCUAUUUUGCUCAGUCACUCCCCUCUCACUUUGUCCUAACUCUACUUUCUCCACUUUCCUUUCCUGCUCAACGCUACUGCUCGGUAACCAGUACUGCCUUUACCCUCCAACACCAUGCUGGGUGCAGGCUUUGGUGUUUGGAAGCUAAUGCGAGGUGUCCGCCAGCUGGAGCUUCACCGCCUCAUUCUGGCCCUCAUCAUUUUUUGCCUACUGUCCAUGGUAUUCCUAGCCUACUACGUCUCCAACAGUCCCAAAAUCAAGGAGGCUCCCCCUUUACCUUUCAGCGACUGUGGUGGAGGUGGGGUGAUGUCACCAGGGGUGAGUACAGGGAUUUUUGGCGGAGGCACAAGUGGCCAGAGGGCACCACUUUUUCUACCCCCUCACCAGGGACGACUACGACGACAAGUGAAGCCUAUUGACAAUUCAAAGACAGAACCUGUGAUUUUGGUGUUUGUAGAGAGUAUCUAUUCUCAGCUAGGCCAAGAGAUUGUAGCCAUAUUAGAAUCAAGUCGCUUCCACUACCGGACUGAGAUUUCCCCUGGCAAAGGUGACAUGCCAACAUUGACAGAGCGCAACCGUGGUCGUUACACAUUGAUUAUCUAUGAAAACGUGCUGAAAUAUGUCAAUCUGGAUGCAUGGAAUCGUGAUUUGCUGGACAAGUACUGUGCAGAAUAUGGAGUAGGUGUCAUUGGCUUCUUCAGAGCUAAUGAAAACUCUCUUCUCAGUGCACAGCUCAAAGGUUUCCCACUUUUUCUACACUCACACCUGGGACUAAGAGACUACCGUAUCAAUCCCAAUGCUCCUCUACUUUACAUCACCAAACCCAACCAGGUGGAGCAAGGUUCUUUACCAGGAGAUGAUUGGACCAUUUUCCAGUCUAACCACUCUACCUAUGAAGCAGUGCUUCUAGCUAGUACCCAGUCUUCUGAGGCACUAGCAAAUUUUGGACCUAUCUCUCUGCGAGCACUUCAUGCCACAGUGGUCCAGGAUUUGGGCCUCCUCGAUGGUAUACAAAGAGUUUUCUUCGGAAAUAAUCUCAGCUAUUGGCUUCAUAAGCUGGUGUUUGUAGAUGCCAUCGCCUAUCUGACAGGGAGGAGAUUGUGUUUGUCCUUGGACCGUCACAUCCUGGUGGACGUGGAUGAUAUAUUUGUUGGCAAGGAGGGAACCCGUAUGAAGGUGUCUGAUGUGGAGGCAUUACUCAACACUCAAAACAAACUGAGAGCACUGGUUCCUAAUUUCACCUUCAACUUGGGAUUUUCAGGAAAGUUCUACCACACAGGUACUGAUGAGGAGGAUCUUGGUGACGACAUGCUGCUGGAACACAGGAUGGAUUUUUGGUGGUUUCCUCACAUGUGGAGCCAUAUGCAGCCUCAUCUGUUUCAUAAUGUCAGCGUUCUAGCUGAGCAAAUGAGGCUCAACAAGAUAUUUGCUCAGGAGCACGGCAUCCCAACAGAUAUGGGCUAUGCAGUGGCUCCUCAUCACUCUGGGGUUUACCCAGUUCAUAGCCAGCUCUACGAGGCCUGGAAAUCUGUAUGGGGAAUUAAGGUGACCAGUACUGAGGAAUACCCUCAUCUGAGGCCAGCACGAUAUCGCCGUGGCUUCAUCCACAAUGGGAUACAGAUAUUGCCCAGGCAGACUUGUGGUCUUUUCACACAUACAAUCUUCUAUAAUGAAUACCCAGGAGGGUCAAAGGAGCUGGACAAGAGCAUCAGAGGAGGAGAACUCUUCCUCACUCUCCUUCUCAAUCCCAUCAGCAUCUUUAUGACUCACCUGUCAAACUAUGGCAACGAUCGUUUGGGUUUGUACACUUUUGAGUCAUUAGUGAAGUUUGUCCAGUGCUGGACCAACCUCAAGCUGCAGACUUUGCCACCCGUCCAGCUUGCUGAGAAAUACUUCCAGAUAUUUCCAGAGGAGAAAGAUCCACUCUGGCAGAACCCUUGUCAUGACAAGAGACACAAAGAUAUCUGGUCUAAAGAAAAGACCUGUGAUAGACUUCCGAAAUUUCUCAUUAUUGGACCACAGAAAACAGGUACAACAGCACUUCAUUCAUUCCUGAGUCUCCACCCAGCAAUCACCAGUUCCUUUCCAAGCCCCACCACCUUUGAGGAGAUUCAGUUCUUCAGUGGAGUAUACUAUGACAAUGGGAUUGAUUGGUACAUGGACUUCUUCCCAUUCCCUUCCAAUGUCAGCACAGACUUUAUGUUUGAAAAGAGUGCCAACUACUUUGACACAGUGGUAGCUCCCAAAAGAGCAUCUGCCCUGCUACCCAGAGCCAAAAUUCUGGCAGUUCUCACCAACCCCAUAGACAGGGCUUACUCUUGGUACCAGCACCAGAGGGCCCAUCAAGACCCUGUAGCACUCAACAACACUUUCCAUGCUGUGGUGACAGCAGGCCCAUCUGCCCUGAGGGAUCUACUUGCACUUCAGAGACGCUGCCUUAAUCCUGGGACCUAUGCUAUCCAUCUGGAACGCUGGCUGCAAUACUAUCAACCCAGCCAGCUGCACAUUGUGGAUGGGACCCUGCUGAGAUCCAACCCAGCACUAGUGAUGGAAGGAAUCCAGAGGUUCCUCGGCGUCACUCCAAUCUUCAAUUACACCCUGGCUCUAAUGUAUGAUGACAGCAAAGGUUUCUGGUGUCAACGAGUGGAAGGGAGCCGAGCCAAAUGUCUGGGGAAGAGCAAAGGCAGGAAGUACCCAGAGAUGAGUCCUGAGUGUGACAAAUAUGGAAAAGAAAAAAAAAAUCAGGAAGGAGGCCAACACUUUUUCACAUCCCUGUGUCUGUGAGAUACUCUGGAACAAGCCAGGCACUGUCCUGUUGCCAGACCCCCCAGGACAUCCUUGGAAGGCCUAUGUCCAUUCUUUGAUGAGUCAGAACAGUUUUGGAGGCACAAGGGAGACCUACAGACAAUAUUAGUAAGUCGCGUGCCUUUUUAACAGAGUAUUACCAUGAGCAUAACACGGAGCUAUUGCGUUUGCUGAAUCGGUUGGGCCAACCUCUUCCUUCCUGGCUACGCCAAGAGCUCCAGGGCACCAGCUGGAGCUGAGACAACGAGCUCACACACACACAACACAACACAGAAAAGUUGGGACUGCAUUUUGUGGUUGAUUCAACAUUUGGCUCUGGAUUAGACUUGGACUACCUGAUCUGGAAUCAUCAUCAGCACACACUGAGAGAGCUACGAGGUCUUAGCUGAGAGUGUUGUUGCUUCUGCUGCAUGGAAAACUGAAUAACUGCACAACAUGAAAUCUAAAAGUGUUGAUUGCUGUUUGAGCAAGAUCAUAGUGGACUCACUUCUCUUGAUCUGUUGCCAACCUACCGCAAGCACUGGGCAGCCUUUAGACACAAUCGGUGUUUGAAAAGGCUGACACUGAUCAGCUGUAGAUCCAGAGGACUAAGCAGAUAAGUGUGUUUGGGAUAUGUGGAUGUAGAAUGUAUGACUGGUAUCACAUGCACAGACACACAUCUCAUCUCCACGGGAAUGACUGUAAAGGAGUCCAUGUUAAAAGCAGUUGUAAAUUCUAGUUAGGAGGUAAGUGCAAAACAAAACGACCAACUUUCUCACCCAGACAGUACAGACACACAACUCCUAUCCUGGUCCAGUCAGCUGUUGGGGUGACAUUCCAAAUAGACACAACUUAAUGAUGACAACUCAAUUUCAGUAUGAUGUGAUUUGGUACAUCACUGUUAGUGAUAAGUUUUAUUAUACCCUGUUUGCUAGAUAAAGCUUUUAUUUAAAUGAU